rnacentral:rRNA from 1 species
AGAGUUUGAUCAUGGCUCAGAACGAACGUUGGCGGCGUGGAUUAGGCAUGCAAGUCGAACGAGAAAGACUUCUUCGGAGGUCGAGUACAGUGGCGAAAGGGUGAGUAAUGCAUAGGCAACUUGCCCUGAGAUGAGAAUAACCUCUCGAAAGGGGGGCUAAUACUCAAUAGUAUCGGAGAACGCAUGUUCCUCGAUUAAAGAUUGCUUCGGCUUUCGCUCAGGGAGGGGCCUAUGUCCUAUUAGCUUGUUGGUGGGGUAACGGCCUACCAAGGCAACGAUGGGUAGCCGACCUGAGAGGGUGACCGGCCACACUGGGACUGAGACACUGCCCAGACUCCUACGGGAGGCUGCAGUCGAGAAUCUUCCGCAAUGCGCGCAAGCGUGACGGAGCGACGCCGCGUGAGGGAUGAAGGCCUUCGGGUUGUAAACCUCUGUCACCUGGAAAGAAAGCUGUGCGGUUAAUAGCUGUCACAGUUGACGUUACCAGGAGAGGAAGCACCGGCUAAAUACGUGCCAGCAGCCGCGGUAAUACGUAUGGUGCAAACGUUGUUCGGAAUCACUGGGCUUAAAGAGCACGUAGGCUGUUAAGAAAGUCUGAUGUGAAAUCCCUCGGCUUAACCGAGGAAUUGCAUUGGAAACUUCUUGGCUAGAGUGCAGAAGGGGAGAGUGGAAUUCCUGGUGGAGCGGUGAAAUGCGUAGAUAUCAGGAGGAACGCCGGAGGCGAAAGCGACUCUCUGGUCUGUAACUGACGCUGAGGUGCGAAAGCUAGGGUAGCGAACGGGAUUAGAUACCCCGGUAGUCCUAGCCCUAAACGAUGGGCACUAAGUAGAGGAGGUUCCGAUACCUUCUCUGCCGGAGCAAAAGUGUUAAGUGCCCCGCCUGGGGAGUAUGGUCGCAAGGCUGAAACUCAAAUGAAUUGACGG